GCUGGUCCUCUCAUCAGCUCCUUUGAAAUGCAUUAGCAAAUCUAGCAAGACCAGCUUAGGCUUGAUAAUUUUACCAUUUGUCUCUGCUGGGAAUCUACAGUUUUUGCUUCCAACUGUCCAUGUCCAUGGACUGCCUCUUCGGAGACAAACAACCCCUGACUCUUGACCUCAAAUCAGGUAGGACUACCCGCUGAACUUAA
rnacentral:misc_RNA from 1 species